CAGAAGAAGGAUGGCGAAGGUCAGAUGGAUGGCGGGGACCAGAAAAAUGGCAAAGUCUGUCCUCUGUCCACAUGCUGAACCAGCUCUGGACUCUUUGGGAACUGGGACACCCCAAGACACGCUCUUUUCUUUGUGUCUCCCUAUGCUGUUUCUCGCUGUGCACAAGGGGACAAUGACAGUGCUGCAUCAUUUCAGCUCCUGUCACAGUGACAUCGAAUCUCUCAGACGAGCCCUUUUCCUUAAGAUAUUCCUAGUUGGUUUAAAAAAGCAGUAUUUAAGUGUUUGGCAGUAGCUAAUGUUCUGCUUGCAAUAACGGCGUUGAAUCCAUUAGUGCCACCGCACUUGUUCGGGGUCCACCGUGAGGAGCGCUAUUAAAUACCUAACGUUCGCUGGCUUCUUCACACAGAGUGGGUUUUCAAUAAACAAAACAUUUACCUCGAUAAUGAUCCAGCAGACACACACUGUGCCAAAUGAGUGUUAAAAAUAAUUUGCGGUUGGUAUGGGAAAAUUGCCGUUUUGAAGUUGCACAACAAUGCCGCUUUUAACGGCGGGUACCCCAAGUACUUGAGAUUGUCUGGAUUCUGUUCAAAUAAGUGCUUUCAUAGCCAAUUAUCAAAUAUUCACUGGGAAGGUGAAAGAAAAGUGGAUAUUUUGUAUCCUCCUGGUUUGAAUUUCAAAGCUUCCAUACUUAAAAAAUUUAACAAGGUUGAACUAUAGAUUUAGAAGCCUUGCAGAAGUUUUAAAAAAUGACCGAUAAAGUCAGUGCAACAGAGAGAAAAAUCCCUCCUGCAAGUUCAGUCCCUCCACUGUGAUUAUGUCAGUGUAUUCCCAUGGAACUUGGGUUUGGCCUAGUUUAAAUUCUUUCUGAGUCAAUUUAAAUUAAUUGCAACAAGUUGGGCUGCUACCUUUAAAGGAACAUGCAGGGUUUAGUAUCUCUUUUCUUUUUGCCCAGAAUAUCUCCUUGAACUUAAACUUUCUCGUGCAAACAGGUAUGUCAUGAGACUUUGUAGACUUGAAAUUCAAAGGAUAUGUUAUUUGUCUCGUUUUUCCUUUCUAGCAGUUUUAACUUGCCUUACGUGAUUCCAGAUUUUGCCUCUGUGUUGUCUACAUAAUGAGAAAUGUUUUUCUUCCUUUUGGUUCGUUCUUCUUGUUGGAAAACAGGAGCAGUAUAAGCAUAUAAGUAGUGUUGCUCUGUAACCACUUUCCCCCUUCAUUUAUUGAAUAAUGGGAACAGAAAGCUCCCCCACCUUUUGGAAAUUUCAAAUAUGGGGCUUGCUAGCCUAUAUAUCUCCAACACCAGAAACAGGCUGGGGAAACGGCCUCAAGUUGCGCCAGGGGAGGUUGAAGUUGGAUGUGGGGAACAAUUUCUUCCCCAAAGGGCUGUGGGGCAUUGGAACAGGCUGCCCAGGGCAGUGCUGGAGUCACCAUCCCUGGAGGGUUGGACAGACGGAGAUGAGGUUCUCAGGGACAUGGGACAGUGCCAGGGGUGAUUGUGGUUGGACUCGAUGAUCUUGAGGGUCUCUUCCGACCAAAGUGAUUCUAUGGUUCUGUUCUGCCCCUCCAGUUCUGAAGAAACAACUCAGUGCAGUUUGUUACAGCUCAGACACCCAGUCUAGAGGUGGCUCCACCUUUGCGGUUUGUGUAGCCAAUUUGUAUGUGUGGAUGAAUGAUGGGAUUCCCUACACAGGUUAAUUGGUUUGCAACAGAAGGUUCUUCUGCUCUUUGAUAGCAUGUCCAUUCGAGUUUCCAUCCAUCAGUGUCUCUUUUCUUACAUAACCUGUUAUUCUUUUGACUAUUGAUCUUGGUAUAAUUUCUUCAGAUGCAGAUCAGUGUUCUUUUAAGAAAUGGUUGUCUUGUUUCUGUUUUCCAGACGUGGUUCCACAUGGUCUUAAAACAUCCCUGUUUGUGCAUAUAAAUAUAUAUAUAUAUAUAUAUAUAUUCUUACUUCAGGACUCCAGAUUUCUUGACCCCGGAGACUGAAAGACAUAACCAGAGAGAAAGUAGUAUGUUUUAGCACAGCAUAAUUAUGUCGUGAUCUUCAAAUGUGCAAAAAUUGUGAGGCGUUUGUAUGACUUCUUCGCUCUGCUCCUUCUUCAUCUCCCUCCCUCCAUCACCAAGUUAUUCCUGUCACACAGCGGAUCCUCCAAGCUCAUAAAAAGCUUCACCAAGCUGGGAGUUUUCAUGUGUGCCAACAGUUUCUUGGCCAUGGUUGCUAUUACUUCUUUAAUUUGGAAUGUGGGCAAACACAACACCGGUUUGAGGAUCUCCUGGUCUCUAACUUUGGGAAGUUAAUCCUUAAAAGUGAAAGAAGCCCUUCUUCUGAUGCAAUACAAGGACUGGAGAGUAAAGGAGCAGCAAAGUGCGCAACAGCAGCGCAAAGCACAACAGUCCUGGGAAGGACCUCGUGUCAGGGAAAUACAGGAGUAAAUGGUGCUUAAGACCAAGAACAUGAUAGUCUGGCUUCGGGAGAGCUGAGCUGAGGAAGCCCAACCUCAGAGCAGAACCUUCAGAGCAAAUGAGAAGGUGAAUUCAUCCGCUGGCGGUGGCUCAGGAUUUCUGAGUUGUUUCCCAUCAGGAAGAACUGGAGAGUGGGACAUUGCAGCCGAAAUAAAUACACUCCAAAGGAGGUAGGACUGCAGAGUUUGGGUGCAAGGGGUAGUGGCCCUCAGACAUGAUAUCUCACGUGCUUUCCGUAGGAGGGGUUUUAAAUUUAUAUAUUGUUUAAUGCAAAUUGCCAUCCAUUUCGUGGCUGGACUAUCUAGAUCUAUAUGCCUAUAGUGAGCUGGUGUCACACCACUAGAGAUUUUCAGAUUAUACUGGCAAGUACAGACACUUUUCCACUGAAAGAAACAGAAGAGCUGGGUCUACAUCCCUCAGCUGACUUUGGAAAUCUAAUUAUUUAGUCUUGAAAUAAAGAGUGUCUGUUUUAUUGUGUUUCUUUGAAUCAAACUUUUGCUCAACCAGCUGUCGACACGGAUAGUUAGAAACACGUUUUGCUUGUCUUGAAGAUGCUGUUUGUUUGUGCGGAUGGGCCACACUCCUAAAUGCUGCUGGAGCGGCACCUUGGGGGAGUGAUUGCGUGAUACGUGUGCGAAUUGGCCAUGAGGAAUUCGCUCUGAGCUUCAGCAGUUUCGGAAGGCGCCUUGAUGUGUUCAUUUAUCCGGCAGCACGUAGCCAGAAAGGUUGCUGCUCAGGUAGAAAUGUCAUUCACACCUCUCCCUCUGAUAAAAUGUAGAUAAAUAAAACGUGGAGAGGAGACCGAAGAAGAGACUCAUCGAGAAAUGCCUACUAGAAACUUUGAAAAAUGCAGAAUAACGUGAGAAACAAUAGGGAGCAAGUUUUCGUGAUGACCACAGCAUGACUCCGGCUUUGAUCUUUACUCAGAGAUAAUAUAUUCACAUAUCCCAUUGUCAUUUCCUGAAGGAAGUUUCAAAGGCGCCUGAGGAAGGCUCCUGCUGUCUGUUAGCUCUAAUUUCGGUGCUAUACUGAAAUCAUGCUGGGUUGCUCUUUCAGUCUGGGGCUUCGGAACAACCGGCUUGAGAAUACUGUGGGUGCACAGGAGCAACGUGUUUGAAGCCGGUGGCAGGAGCUCUGCAGCUCCAUCAUCUAAAACCCUCAGAAAAAUAUCAUGUUGAGAGAGAGGGGACACCCAUCUGCGUCUGUGUUGGAUAUCUUCCUUCAUUUGCAAGUUUUGGUAUAAAAAGAAUGAGCUAUACAGCUUGUUUGAAUCAAAAUGGAUGGGAUGUAUAAAGAGGGGGAAGAUGGAGCUUCUUUAUUGCGUCCUGCAGAGGAGGAAGGACCUAGUAGACUGAAUAUAUGUUUAUAUACGUAUCAGAGGACUGGAGAUUGAUGAGGAAAUGGUCUCAAGUUGCACCGGGGAGGUUGAGGUUGGAUCUGGGAACAAUUUCUUCCCCAAAGGGCUGUGGGGCAUUGGAACAGGCUGCCCAGGGCAGUGCUGGAGUCACCAUCCCUGGAGGGUUGGACAGACGGACAUGAGGUUCUCAGGACAUGGGGCAGUGACAGGGGUGGGGUAUGGGUGGAAUCAAUGAUCCUGAGGGGCUUUGCCAACCAAAAUGAUUCUGUGAUUCUGUGGCGGGUGCUUCAAAGACCAAGAAACCAGGACAGAGCUAAAUUCAUUCACUAACAACUGACUCCUGGCUAGUGUAAGUUCUUAGAGAAUACUAAUCAUCAGUGCUAUGGAUACAAAGCCAUUAUUAUUUACCACUAAUGUUCUAUAAGCAUCACGGGCCUCUAAUUUGACUACAUUUUCCUAGUAUUGAUUUGGGAAGCACUGUGAUAAGCAUAAUUUUUUAACGAAAGUAAGCAGCUUUGCUCACAUGUACAACAGGUAAUGCUUAUUCUAUGUGUAGACUGGUGAGUUGAAUUUAUAUUUUUAUGUACGUUAACAUGGCAUUUGCAUGCUUGCAACCAUCGGAUCAAACUAUUCCUUGAGUGUUUAAAAUAGCAAGUAAAAGAUGCAUUUGAGGGGAUACAUAUGUGUAUGUUUGGGCUUUUCAAAUGGGAUAUCAGUGAAUCCAGAGCCCCUUGACAGCCCAGAUUUUUAGAGAGCACGAGACUUUCUCUGGGCCUGUGUGGGGUUCCAUGCUGCUGUUUUUCCUUCAAAGCCACUAGUACAUUAUGUUGCUAUGGCUACUUCAUCACCAAGCCCUGUUACCAAUGCAUUAGUGUGCUGUAAACUCAGUGUUUUCCCCUCGGAUUUGAAAUUCUAUUGUAUUUGUCUCUGAUGAGGGAUAUUUUAGGAGGAGGUUUGCAUUAGGGUGGGCUUCAAGACCUUUUGGUGUAACAGAUCAAGAUCUUAGUGUUUCGCUGUCCACUUUACACCUUUAAUGGAUUUUAUUAACUCUGUUACUGAGUGGCAUGAGGGAAUGAGCAUUUGUGCCCUGGCUGUUUUGACUCUGAUAAAUUAAGCUCACAUACUAAAAUGCAGAUUGGCAGAGCUGAGGUGCCAGAUACUCUUCCAAGAUCAAAACAAGCUACUGGACUUGAAAAAUUGCUAAAGAAAGUUAAAAAAAAAAGGGUGAUGCCAUGUGAUAGAGAAGGAAUUAACUCUACAGCAUUUUUUGGUCCGAAUAAUACCCAUGGUAUCUAACGCUCCCAAAAUUUUGUGGUGUCUUGGUGUUGUCAAUGCAGCUCGUCUGGCGUUAGCACCAGGUAUUUGUGCACUGUUGCCACUCGCAGUCAGCGCUCCCUGAAGGUUUUUAAUGUCCUUUCCACUCACCCUUUCUGGAUAAGUGUCUCCUGGUCACGCAGAGAGAGCAGCUACCAGAAAACCAGGCGAGAAGGGGAUGCUGAUGGAACCAAAGUGUCCGCAGGUGCUGCAGUUUCCUUACACCUUUUGCUUGCUUUUUACUCCCCCAGUGGUGAUCUCUGGAUGUAGUUUCAAUCUGAUACUUGCAGGGCUUCAAACUGUUUUUUCAUGGGAAAUGCCUCUCCUGACUUCCUCUGAAAUAAGAGCAGUGAGGAUAAGAAAUAUGAAAAAUAUAUAUAUUUCUCUUCUGUUUCAUUUACUGCUGCUUUGCCCAAGCUAACUUUUUAAUCAGUGCUCAGGACAAAAGCAAUAAUGCCGGUAAAUCAUACCACACUUAUUAUAAGGUUACAUAACAUAAUAACAUUUUCUUUGAGAGUGUUGUAGGAGAGGCCGCUCUUGCUGACGCCGUCGGUCCUUGGCGGGGUUCAGAGCACGUGUCUGACCCGCAGAACAUCCCUGCGGUGGCUUCAAAGGAUGAUCCUCCUCAGCCCUCGGGGUGUGAAGGUGGCAUCUUCUCUCCAUCCUGCCAGACGUCAGUUUAACAAGGCAGCUGUGCUGAAGAUCACCCUCAAACGUACCUUGCUCUCCUCCUCUCCUAACGGGCAGAAGGUUAAUGAGGUCCGGCUAAAGCGCUCCCAAAGCUGCGGGAAGGGGUUGGUCGGGUGGCAGCUCAGAGCCCUCAGCAAACUACACGUUCUCCAGGCACUUGAGGGAGGAAGGGUCGGGUGGUUUGGCUCCAGAAACUUGGACUGUUUUCAGCUCCCUCAAGUCUACCCAAGCCCCAGGUACCAAAGCGCUGCUCUGCCAGGUCUGUAGAUCCUCUCGGCAGGAAGAGCUUCUUUUAAAUUCCUUAUUUCACCUCUGGUCCAGACGAUGGGGGGGAAGUGGGGCUCAUUUAUCCCCUUUGGUAUUUGUGGUCCUGGUGCUGCCUGAGGUGCUGCUGACUCAGAGCAGCCUCUUGUUUUCUUCUCACACAUCUACUGCAGAAAUCCUGCGACCACCUGGAGGUCCCGCUACUGCUGUGCCGAGCUCCUCAGUUCUCUUUUUAAAGGGAGCAAAAGUCGCUGUUGUGUUAAAAUCAAGCAGAACGAAACUAUGCUGUGUAACUCGUAAUGCCAUUCCUUGUGUGGGAAGUGCCCCACAGGCCUGCGUUUCCUGUCUGAGAUUCUCCCAUGGAAGGGGCUGGGGCUGUAUCAGCAGUAUGGCAUCCUCCAGAGGCUCUUUGGUCAGUAAAUCUUGUUCCCCACAUCCAACCUCAACCUCCCCUGGCGCAACUUGAGGCCGUUUCCUCUGCUCCUGGCGCUUGUUCCUGGGGAGCAGAGCCCGACUCCCCCUGGCUCCAAGCUCCUUUCAGGCAGUUCAGAGAUCAGAAGGUCUCCCCUCAGCUCCUGUUCUCCAGCUGAACCCCCCAUGUCCCUCAGCCGCUCCCAUCACACUUGUGCUCCAGCCCCUCACCAGCUCCGUUCCCUUCUCUCCACUCAUUCCAGCACCUCAAGGCCUUUCUUGAGGUGAUCCCACCACCCCUCUGGCUGCCAUUUUGAGCCCCAAGGUGAUUUUGGUGCCUCCAUUUUGAACCCCCAGGUGAUUUUGGUGCUGCCAUUUUCAGCCCUGAGGUGAGGGGCCCAAACCUUGUUUCUUUUGCCAUCUUUUGCCAUCAAGCCUUGAAGCGUGGAAACAUCCUUUCUCUUUGAGCCUUUCUGACUCUCUUCGCAGUCACAAAAGGCCUCUGAGGGAUACAAGCAGCAGCAUUCCCAUUUUAUACAUAAAAAUAAACCUUGCUAGCUUGCUUGGAACUAAUUUUCUAAUUACCAGCUCCCUGAUAUUCUUUUUUCUUAGAAGUUGUGUUAUUUCUGUGGAUAAUAGUGCUUUGUGGUGUUGUUAGGCUCGUUUGGGUUAUUUCUCCCUAGGGAGUGUCUUGUGAUUUAACUGCAGGCAGUUGGGGAGAACAGAGAGGAGACCAAUGAAGGCCUACAGAAAAUACUCAUUAAACAUACACAUCUUUGCCUGACUUGCCACGGAAGAGCAAUCUGUCACGCCAUUCGUAGAUGGACUUGACUGUUGAUUGCACUUGAGCUAGUGGCUUUAAUUCAUGUUAACUCCAUUUGUUUUUAAUUAAGCAAUGUCUUUUAAGCAAAGAUAAUCCAUCGCUAAUGUCAACAGGUGAGUUUUGCUCCGCAAUAUUGAGUCUUAUAUUUUAGUUUAACUGAGAUAAAGCUUUGAGGGCCAUUUACUCAGACUAUAGAUUUUUAAACAGGAAUGCAAAUUGUCUUGCAGUUUGUAGUGAUCCAAUUUAACCUAAUAGCUUUCCAAGUGAAUUGGGACAGAAACAACUAAUCUAACCGUAGAACUGGUUGCAUAUUAAUGUAUAUUACCUCAGUAUCAAGAGUGGAAUAGAUAGUAUUUGUGUUUAUUAAGACUGAUCUGUCUGAUAAAGUUGACCUUCCGAGCUGGUGGCCUUCUGCCUUUCUUCCCAUCAGAAAGGUCUCCUGUUAACUAUUCACAAAAUAUCAAUAUGUGUUUUGGGUUGCGCUAAUCAAAUGUGAAUUUGGAUAUGUGGGGUAUUGUUCUCAAAAACCAGAAAACAAACAACAAACCCCCCCAAGCCCCACACCUUUUCGGGUCGGCUCUGGGACCGCGUUUUCCAUCCGCUUCCUUAGUUUCUCUUGUUUUCUGAGUGCGUCAAAGCAGCGAGGACGGAGAAGAUUCUCGGGGCUCGAUAGCAGCAGCUGCCUGAAUCAGCAGCACAGGCCCUGUUGACGAUAUUAAUAAAAGCACUGGCAUCUUUUCUGGCAAAGACAUCCCAUUUUCUGAUGGACCUGUUUGUGUAUCGCUGAGUUGGAGUCGGUCACUUCAUCACGGCAGGAAUGUGGCAAUUCUUUCCUACCCUACACAUGACUCAACUACUGCUUUUGCAGUACUAACAGUAUUGUUAAUUGAUCAUAUAAUGCUGAAUAAUGCAUAGAAUACAUUUUUUUGUUAAAAAAAGAACCAAAGCAAUCAAGAAAAUGUAAUCUUGCCUACAAAUUUUGCAAGCGAAAGGGCAAUAAGGGUCUUAGAGUAUUAAACCAUUACAGAUUAUAUUUGUCAGUGGAAGGCAUGUGAAUUCUUAAAUCUUUCUGAAUUAGUAAAUAUUACACAUGCAUUUCUAAGGUUUUUGCCUUUUUGUUAUUAGUGGCUUCAGUGUCUUCUGACAGCACGAGUAGAAAUGGUGGCAGUUGUGACCGGAAUGUUGAGAACAGGACUAGUCCUUAUCAGUCAGUGGCAUUCAUUAGUCGGUUUUGCUCAAGUUGUGUAACGUCAUUAGUAUUUUAUGUAUACUUGCACAAUUGAUUUGGUUUGCUUUUAACUACACAGAACAGAAUUUCUUACAUAUUACUUUUUACCCUUUUGCUAGUUGUUUCUUGGCAAUUAAGCAACAUUUGCCUGUGCAGCAAAAUCCUUUUAAGCAGGAGAUUUGGCUCAAAACACCCAACUUCUUGUUAUUUUAUGUAUUCAGCCCUUUGCUCUGCUUUUCAAUAAUCAAUUCUUAGCUUUUCCUACUGCUUCUAAAUAGAAGCUCUCUCUUUUGGAAAAAAGUAAUGAAAAGGACAUCAACAACAGCAAUCAAACUGAAUUAGAGCAAAGCUCUGGCUUCCAGUGGGCAAUCGCUGCAGAAAUUGGGCUCAAUUCAUUGUCCACCGUGUGCACACGCAAUUGAAAUUUCCUUCCUUUUUUUCAUAAGCAUGUUCCCAAAAUACCACGGAUCUCUUCUCCUUAAUUAAGGAGAAAAUUCAACCUGAAUCUCGAGUAAUUACGAGGCUUUCUGCUGGGCUGCAGAAGAAACAGAUGGGAACACCCAUAAACACAACGGGCACAUGCAUCUUGUUGCUCUUCCUUAUAUUUUACUGCCAACAAGACUCAGACAUAGUGAAACAAUAUCUGGGACUUGGUAGAGCAAAAUAGCCAAAAAUACAGGUGAUAAACUUUUUACUGUGAGGCCCAAAUCAUUUUCUCUUUGGUUUGGCCAGUUGUUUGAUGCUUGCUGCUUCGCAGCCUCUUUUUUGCAAGAAAAAUUAACAGCCAAGUUAAUUGGUUCCAUGGGAAGCCCCGUUCCCCCUAAUUUUACAGAAACCAUAGAGGGAGUGUUUUCUUCUCUUAAAAUCCUAGUGGUUUUAUUAUUAUUUUUUAACACUUACAUAUAGAUAUAUUCCCCCCACCCCAGUUAGCACUCUACUCAAAAGGGGUCCCUUUUACUGUCUCACAACCACAUUUCCAGUGCUGUUUCCGCUGAUCUUUUCUGUUGCUUUGCGUCUGCGUUUCCCUGUGUUAUUGAAAAAGUGCUUCCAGUGUUUUUAUUCCACCUUUAUUCUGCCUCCCUGCCCACCUCUGCUGCUGCUUUUGCAUUAUGGGCCCAGCAGGUUUGUGCCGCCAGCUCCCCUCGACUCCCUCUGCACAUUAAGGGGUGAAGAAGAUGAGAUUUUUGGUGCCUUUCAGAUCUGCUUGGGGGAUUGCUCAGGUUUUUUUCCUCACCUUGUCGGGUUUCUUUCCUGACACCUGUUGGAUUGACACUGAGGGAAUUCUGCAGAAAGCCGGUUAUUUAGGGCAAACCCACUUGCAGGGACACGUUCUUUAUCCCAACAGAUGCUGUUUUGCCAACAAACAUUCCCUGCUGGAGCUUGUGCACUUGAAAUCUCUAUUCCGAGGGGGGUCGUGGGGACAUUUUGCUCCAUCCUGGAGGGCUCUUAUGGUUAAAUUAAACAUAGAUUUGGAGCCUGCUGUAUUGCAAAUACCACUUCAUAGGAUGAGGGCAGUACAAGGCCUGCGCUGUUUAAACCAGUUACCUUCUGGUUCAUGUGCGCGCAGGUUUCAGUGGUUAAAACUCCCAAAACUCACCUAUUUUGCCUUCCUGCCCAUCUCAGAAGAGAAGCGACCAUCUGGCGGCCAGUCACUAGUGGUGUUCCCCAGGGGUCAGUGUUGGGUCCAGUCCUGUUCAACAUCUUUAUUGAUGAUUUAGAUGAGGGGAUUGAGACCAUCAUCAGCAAAUUUGCUGAUGACACCAAGUUGGGAGGGAGUGUCGACCUGCUGGAAGGCAGGAGGGCUCUGCAGAGGGAUCUGGAUAGACUGGAAAAAUGGGCUGAUUCCAAUGGGAUGAAGUUCAACAAGGCCAAAUGCCGGGUGCUGCGCUUUGGCCACAACAACCCCCUGCAGCGCUCCAGGCUGGGCACAGAGUGGCUGGAGAGCAGUCAGACAGAAAGGGACCUGGGGGUGCUAAUUGACAGGAAGCUCAACAAGAGCC